CUUUUUUGGGGAUUGCUGUCAAAAAAUGAGGAAUGAUACUCGAGUUGAGAAUUGUAGACUGGAUCUCACAAAAAUUCUGGUCAAACUAACAAAUGAUUCACUGAAGAAUGGGGGCAGAAAAAAAAAGCUGGCUGCUUGUUCCCUCUUUCUAGUUAAUGAAUCGAAUUGAUACAGGAACUUCAUCGUGUUCUCAGGGAAAUCCUGUUGGCUGGGGCUCACUCUUCAGCACCGCUAAAUUUAGGUCACGGCUCAGUGAAGAACAAUUACAGAUUCUUAAUAAAAGAUAAUUUACCCAGUGACAUCCAACAGGACAUCUGGGCAGGCGUUCUCAUUUUCUUGUUAAUGUUGUAGAGGUGGGGAGCGUGGAGUAGGGAUGAAUGUUGACAGAAAGUCAUUUUCUGACCUGCUUUGUGGCAUAUGUCAGUCCAUGCUCUUCCAGGGACAGCAGACAGAGCAUGAAUGAGACCCCCAAAGAAGGGAAGCAAAUGAGACAAGCCCCACAAUUAUUCUGGCUUUUUGCCUAGAGACAAUCUAUGAACUGUGGGGCAAACAACAGAGAUCAAAACAGCUUGGCAAUCUGAGUUGAGGAUGAAGACACCAUUGGGGCAGAAGCAGCGAUAGCUCAAAUUUGUGGAGCAAAGUACCGGAGAAGAUAAACUGCUCCAAAUUCCAAGAGGCUGGGCAAAGAAAAACUUUGUGGAAAGAAGAAUUAUCAGGGAACUCUAAGCUGAAAAAUUGCCAGGGCUCACACAGACCUGGGGAAUUGGUUGAGUUUAUGCCACCUACAGGAUAGAGAACUUGCUGAAUGUUCAAGGAUUUUGUUACAGAUGCAAGAUGACACUUAAAGGGAUGCAAAACUAACAUCUCUGGAUUAGUCUUAAUAAAG
rnacentral:lncRNA from 1 species